GAUGAAGAACGUAGCGAAAUGCGAUACGUAAUGUGAAUUGCAGAUUUCAGUGAAUCAUCGAAUCUUUGAACGCACAUUGCGCCCGCUAGUAUUCUGGCGGGCAUGCCUGUUCGAGCGUCAUUUCAACCAUCAAGCCCUAGGCUUGCGUUGGAGCCCUGCGGCUGCCGCAGGCUCCCAAAUCCAGUGGCGGGCUCGUCGUCGUACCGAGUGCAGUAAACAUCCUCGCUCAGGGAACGUGACGGGUUCUUGCCGUGAAACCCCCCACAUAUCUAGGUUGACCUCGGAUCAGGUAGGAAUACCCGCUGAACUUAAGCAUAUCAAUAAGCGGAGGA
rnacentral:misc_RNA from 1 species